UGGCACCGUUGUCUAGGUAGUUGCCAUAUCGCCAGUUUCCGUCAGUUACGAACUUGCCAUGUGUAGCAUUACGUGUCUUUUGGCGUCCUAGAGCUGAGCUGGCCUUUGCAAAUAUCGAACAGGGGGUGUACAACAAAACGUUCAUAUUUGCAACAGCGUUCCUCAGACUGCACGAGAACAAGUUUGGUGAAGGAUGUCCCUCUACCCAAGCUUGCCCGAGGACUCCCCAACGCCUAAUUAUGCCAAGCUUGCAGAGAACCCACACUCCCUCCUUCCUGCGUGCUCGGUGUGUCUAGAUGAAUUCUGUGAGAAGCGCCCCCCAAAGUACCUGUCCUGCCAUCAUACCUUCUGCGAAGAGUGCAUUCAUCAACUACUGCGCGGUGGGAAGGUGGAAUGCCCGCUGUGUCGCAAGGUGACGCGGACGACGUCUACCAACAAGUUGCAGACUAAUAAUGACGUGCUAACUAUGGUCAAAUACGGGGAUAUUGUCAGUAGUCUAUGGUGCCACGACUGCCAGAGUGUCCCUAAGCCCAGCUGUGCAGCACAUCGCGUCGACAACCGAUCACCAGCCUCUGCAGUGACGAUAGGACAGCAGCUGGACAGCACGCUAGAAUCGUGGAAACCAACUUUCACAAGGGUGGUGGAAACCGCACAUGGCUGGUCCGUGGUGGCAGUCGACGCCACCUACUCCACCGCCGUGUCCAUCAGUGACAUGGUGACUCCUAUCGUGACCUACGUCUUUGACCGGAUCAGCUGCUUUAUCAAUUCAUGAUCAAGAAGUUUGAUUUUAUAAUUGGUCUGUGUGUGCGUUCGUUCGUUCGUGUUAUUUACUCUGGAUAUGUUACUCUGUUACUUCAUAUGUUUUCUGUGAAUGUGUUAGUUAAAUAUUAAGCAUAGCUAUUUUCCAGCUUCUAAAGCUGAAGAUGUCAUCUUUAGUCUUUUGUAAGUGAAAAGUGUAUAGGUAGUGUUCGUUAUAUCACAACUGAAGAUCAUGCAUUGUGUAUGUAAUAUAGAAUAAUCCUGUGAAUAAAGGAAAAAAAAAAGUU
rnacentral:misc_RNA from 1 species